UACGUAGGGACCAAGCGUUGUUCGGAUUUACUGGGCGUAAAGGGCGCGUAGGCGGCCUAGCAAGUCACUUGUGAAAUCUCCGGGCUUAACUCGGAACUGCCAAGUGAAACUGCUGGGCUAGAGUGCAGAAGGGGCAAUCGGAAUUCUUGGUGUAGCGGUGAAAUGCGUAGAUAUCAAGAGGAACACCUGAGGUGAAGACGGGUUGCUGGGCUGACACUGACGCUGAGGCGCGAAAGCUAGGGGAGCGAACAGG
rnacentral:rRNA from 1 species